AAUAUGAAGUUUUAUUAAAAGAAAAGGGGUGAAAAGAACAAAGUUUUGUCCAUCUUUGUUCAUCAUAGCUGAAAGUUAGAGAAGAGAAAGGAGAGGAGAAAGCUCUUGAGUAUUCGGUCAUUAGGAGGAGGAAAAUUGAAGGUAAUCCCCAACCAUAGUGGGCUUGGAGCUGUGAGGGAAUUCGGAGUGGCCACCCAUUCUGAAAGUUUGAUUUUCUUCUGGUGAACUGGACAUCCUUUUAUUUACGUUUGAAGUUUUGGGUUUUUAAAUGUAAUAAGGCCGCUUAAUUAUUUUUGAUGGUUUUAAUAUGUAUUACUAAGAUAGGUAUUACUUAUUUUAAA